UUUCAAAGGCCCUGAAUUCGAUCACUUAGUUCGAACGUGGGUUCUACGAGGCAUAGAACACGAUCCCCCGCCCGCCGCCGAUCCACGUGAGCCGGCUGAUUGCGCAAUAGUGCACGCUGACUUUGACCCCCGUGCAGGCAUGCAUAUCCGGGUCACAGGCGCUUCAUAUUUCAGAGGCAACAUGGCCACGGUAGAAGGAACACUUGAACGUAAAAAAACACCCGAAAAUGCGCAUUUUCUUGGUCAGAGCCGCAUUUUUCCCCGUAGAAGAGUGGAUAAGUGCCUUCGUCAUUGAACAUCCGACUUAGGCUUGACAAGUGCUGGGAGAAAAUGAAGUACCAGGAAUGAGAAGAGGAUGACAACUCACACAAGUCCUUAUUCAAGGUAGCCCCAAGGCCAGACUAUGCUGACAACAAAUUGCAUGCUGCAUCCUUUAUUCAAAACAAGUCUUUACAAGGAUCAUGAACUAAUUUAUACAAUGCAACAAGAUAAGUGAGUUAAAAAGGUUACUUCACAGAAGCAAAAUUCCUCUUUUAAUCUGUCAACAGACUGAACAUUUGUCAUAUCAUGAUGCUAGGAGGCAGUGAUAUGUGGAAUAACUGUCACCAAUCUUAGUCUGUAUUUAACAUAAAUGCACACAAACCAUGCAAGGUGACAAGUUAAUUUACUAGGGGAAACUGAACUGCAGCUAGCAGUGGUGAUGUAAAAAUCUAGCUAGUGAGUCAACUCUGGGACAUCACAGAACCUGGCAUGGACAUUGAGGAAGUUGGAGUUGGACACUAUCCACAUUCUGACAGGACUCUCUUAGUAGCCACCAUGGACAGCAGUAUGACCUGUAGCCAAGCAAGAACAUGGGGAAGAUUUGUGUUAAAUGCUGCAAUAUGCUACAUGUCUGAAUAAAGAUAUCUGUAGAUAAAGUA